rnacentral:rRNA from 1 species
UGGGGAAUUUUGCACAAUGGGGGAAACCCUGAUGCAGCGACGCCGCGUGAUUUAGAAGGCCUUCGGGUUGUAAGAAUCUUUUCUAUGGGAAGAAAAUGACAGUACCAUAAGAAUAAGGACCGGCUAAUUACGUGCCAGCAGCCGCGGUAAUACGUAAGGUCCGAGCGUUGUCCGGAAUCAUUGGGCGUAAAGGGUACGUAGGCGGGUAAGCAAGUUAGAAGUGAAAUCCUAUAGCUCAACUAUAGUAAGCUUUUAAAACUGCUCAUCUUGAGGUAUGGAAGGGAAAGUGGAAUUCCUAGUGUAGCGGUGAAAUGCGCAGAUAUUAGGAGGAAUACCGGUGGCGAAGGCGACUUUCUGGCCAUAACCUGACGCUGAGGUACGAAAGCGUGGGUAGCAAACAGG